rnacentral:misc_RNA from 1 species
UUAAGUUCAAUUAAUGUCAAGUACUUGUGUUUAAAUAGACACACAUUUGUAACGGUGCCAACUGCCACGAAUGCGACACGUCCUGUUAGAUUUAGCACCAUAAUUGUACUGUGCAUUAUUUGUUUAGAAUUUUAUAUCACAGGGAAUAUAGUUCUUGAGCAUUAUGUCAAAGAAUGUAUUACUUCUGAGCAUUUUGUCAAUGGUAUCGGGUCAAGGUACUUUUUAUGUGCCGACGACUAUGUCAUAUUGGGCCAAUUACGAUGAGGAAUGUGUACCGGCAACACCAAACGUUGACGCUGCUGUUAGCUAUUCUCCAAAUGUUUAUGAUGUUGAUAACCCCAGAAUAGAUCUACCGGAUAAUGAAGACGUAUGGGUAGGAUAUUAUCAGGUUGUGAGAGUAUUUGAAUAUAUUGGAUGUGUCGAGCAUCGUCACUUGUUUAGAUUUGACCCGCAGUAUGUCAAAAUAAAAGGCGAUCCAGGACAUUGCUUUCCCGGUUGCAACGAAAGCACAAUCAUCGGCGUGACUAAAACUCGGUGUUACUGUCUUGGAGAUGAAUUCAACUUUACAAGAAACUAUGAAUCAGGAUGUAUAGUAAUAUGUAACCGUCCUACUGUCGCAUGUGGUCAAGAUAGAUCACCGGUGAAAUACAGCUAUAUUUCAAUAUACAAAAUCAAUCUACAUGUUAAUGCCAGUUCUAUUUCCGUAUCGUUAACGUCUUCGGGGGACCAGGAUUGCCUACAUUUAGACCCAUCUGUACCAAAACUGUUCUACUGGAGUACAUGCACGUUACGUUUCAAAGCAAUGUGUUUCUAUGAAGGUUCUGUGGGUCGCGUUGAGGAUUUUAGCUGCAAAGGCGUGUCAGAAUACUGUUCAUGGAUAGAUGCCGCAAAUACGUGUUUCUCCCAACAUUAUAUUCAAAUUCAAAAAACCUUAUCAAAGGAACUACCUCACCGUUAUGGACUGGACUUUUCAAAACAAAUGUGGUUUACAAAUACAAUGCAAAUAUUCCAGAUGAAAGGAGACACGAUAAAAAGCAAUUCGGCUAUUUGACAAAUAAAGGAAACAACAAUGUGAAAUUAAGGUUUGCAGAGGCCGAUUCGAUGAAAAGAGUACUUUGCAUAAAAGACAGAAACAAAAUAAAAACGCAAACGACCCAUGUAACAAAGAGCGAAUCAUUUUCAGUAAAAACAACACAGUUGUCAAGUUCUCCUUCUACAACUUUGCUGAACACAAGUAAUACAG